UGGGGAAUUUUGGACAAUGGGGGCAACCCUGAUCCAGCAAUGCCGCGUGUGUGAAGAAGGCAUUCGGGUUGUAAAGCACUUUUGUCCGGAAAGAAAACUUCGGGGCUAAUACCCCUGGAGGAUGACGGUACCGGAAGAAUAAGCACCGGCUAACUACGUGCCAGCAGCCGCGGUAAUACGUAGGGUGCGAGCGUUAAUCGGAAUUACUGGGCGUAAAGAGUGCGCAGGCGGUGCUGUAAGACCGAUGUGAAAUCCCCGGGCUUAACCUGGGAACUGCAUUGGUGACUGCAGCGCUGGAGUAUGGCAGAGGUGGGUGGAAUUCCACGUGUAGCAGUGAAAUGCGUAGAGAUGUGGAGGAACACCGAUGGCGAAGGCAGCCCCCUGGGCCAAUACUGACACUCAUGCACGAAAGCGUCGGGAGCAAACAGG
rnacentral:rRNA from 1 species